GGUCAUCUUCAGUGACACAUGGCAAGACCCCCUCUGCAAAUCGUCUCUUCAAUUGUGCUUUGCAUGUUUCCGAGACAACAGCAUUCCCACCGGCUAAUGAGCUUGAUGCAGUGUGCAACAUCUACUCUGAUGAAGCAAGGUGGCAGCUUUGAUUCUUCAGGCUUUCCUGCCAGCACUCCAAAGCACUGAUUGAUGUAUGUUUUCAAGUCUGGGUAAGGAGUGAAGGCCUUAACCAGUGCUCCAAGCAAAGCCAAGGAGAAAUCACAGACCGCUUCUUUGGGAACCGCAGCACCUGCUCGUUGCCAUUCAGUAAGCCAGUUGGAAAUAGAAUUGAUGGUGUGGCUCUCUGAUAGCAUUUGCACUACUGGAAUAUGAUCUCCCUGUGAACACAAAACUCCUUGAUACAGGAAGACAUGUCCAGAAUUGCCACAGGGUCUUCUCAGUCUUUUCACAACUGUACCUGUUGCAUCAAAACUCAUAAAUGAGCCAGAGUACUUGGAUUUCAUUUGAUACACUUGCAUCUGAGAUGGGGUCCAGUAAUGACAAAAAAACCUAUCAAGGCCUAUGUCAUGAAUGCUUCCAUUGUGGGGUACACUGUAUUUUAGUAGAUGCAAUGACAUGAUUGGGUCUUUGUCUCCAAGCUCUUUGUCACCCAUCUCUUGUUUGGCUUUUCUUAAUGUUGCCAGAUUUGGCAGGUGGCUAGGCUCUGGGUCACCAACAUCCAUCAUUUUGUAAGCCUCAGUUGCUCGCCAUACAUGUGCUGGUUUUCGGCCUUCCCAGAGUUCUUUAGAGACACGUGUUCUCAGAUCCCCUGAUAACUUCCGUUUUGCUUUUCCAGUAUGGAGACUGUCAUCAACAUUGCGGAUUAUGCAUUGAAGCACAACUGGUUCAUUAUCCACUGGCAUUUUAUCUGCUUUUAUAGACAAUUGUGCGUCACACUCUGUACAGUGCCCAAUUAUGUCUAUGUAGUGAGAUGCAACAUUUGGAAAGAUUUUUGCCCUCCUGAAUCUAAGAGUGCAUGAGGUCUUGAUAUUUUUCCAUAUCUCCUCAUACAGGACGUGUGUCCAUGCACCACGUUUCAGGAUGGUGUAUUCUCUCUUACAUGUGUUUAGUGAUUUGUCAUUGUAAUCAACUUUUUCAGGCCAGAUUUCUAGCCAUUUCUGAUGAGAGAGACUGAUCUCAAAUGUAAUGUCGUAGCAUUGACUUUGCUGAUUUGUGUCUGCUGAAUGAAAAUCUGCUGAGCUUUCUUGUGAGCUGUCACAGUUUGUACCUUGAUCUUGGGUGUCUGUGUCGAUUUUGCAUAGAUCAAGGAUUUGCCAUAUAUUGUGCCUGUUUGUCUUCACAAUAGUAUAAAGGUUCUUUGGUGAAACUUU